ensembl:miRNA xtr-let-7e-1 xtr-let-7e-1
CCCUGUGGGAUGAGGUAGUAGGUUGUUUAGUUAUUGGGCCGCACCCACCAAUGGGAGAGAACUACACAACCUACUGUCUCUCCUAAAGUG